GGUUAAGCGACUAAGCGUACACGGUGGAUGCCCUGGCAGUCAGAGGCGAUGAAGGACGUGCUAAUCUGCGAUAAGCGUCGGUAAGGUGAUAUGAACCGUUAUAACCGGCGAUUUCCGAAUGGGGAAACCCAGUGUGAUUCGUCACACUAUCAUUAACUGAAUCCAUAGGUUAAUGAGGCGAACCGGGGGAACUGAAACAUCUAAGUACCCCGAGGAAAAGAAAUCAACCGAGAUUCCCCCAGUAGCGGCGAGCGAACGGGGAGCAGCCCAGAGCCUGAAUCAGUGUGUGUGUUAGUGGAAGCGUCUGGAAAGGCGCGCGAUACAGGGUGACAGCCCCGUACACAAAAAUGCACAUGCUGUGAGCUCGAUGAGUAGGGCGGGACACGUGGUAUCCUGUCUGAAUAUGGGGGGACCAUCCUCCAAGGCUAAAUACUCCUGACUGACCGAUAGUGAACCAGUACCGUGAGGGAAAGGCGAAAAGAACCCCGGCGAGGGGAGUGAAAAAGAACCUGAAACCGUGUACGUACAAGCAGUGGGAGCACGCUUAGGCGUGUGACUGCGUACCUUUUGUAUAAUGGGUCAGCGACUUAUAUUCUGUAGCAAGGUUAACCGAAUAGGGGAGCCGAAGGGAAACCGAGUCUUAACUGGGCGUUAAGUUGCAGGGUAUAGACCCGAAACCCGGUGAUCUAGCCAUGGGCAGGUUGAAGGUUGGGUAACACUAACUGGAGGACCGAACCGACUAAUGUUGAAAAAUUAGCGGAUGACUUGUGGCUGGGGGUGAAAGGCCAAUCAAACCGGGAGAUAGCUGGUUCUCCCCGAAAGCUAUUUAGGUAGCGCCUCGUGAAUUCAUCUCCGGGGGUAGAGCACUGUUUCGGCAAGGGGGUCAUCCCGACUUACCAACCCGAUGCAAACUGCGAAUACCGGAGAAUGUUAUCACGGGAGACACACGGCGGGUGCUAACGUCCGUCGUGAAGAGGGAAACAACCCAGACCGCCAGCUAAGGUCCCAAAGUCAUGGUUAAGUGGGAAACGAUGUGGGAAGGCCCAGACAGCCAGGAUGUUGGCUUAGAAGCAGCCAUCAUUUAAAGAAAGCGUAAUAGCUCACUGGUCGAGUCGGCCUGCGCGGAAGAUGUAACGGGGCUAAACCAUGCACCGAAGCUGCGGCAGCGACACUAUGUGUUGUUGGGUAGGGGAGCGUUCUGUAAGCCUGUGAAGGUGUACUGUGAGGUAUGCUGGAGGUAUCAGAAGUGCGAAUGCUGACAUAAGUAACGAUAAAGCGGGUGAAAAGCCCGCUCGCCGGAAGACCAAGGGUUCCUGUCCAACGUUAAUCGGGGCAGGGUGAGUCGACCCCUAAGGCGAGGCCGAAAGGCGUAGUCGAUGGGAAACAGGUUAAUAUUCCUGUACUUGGUGUUACUGCGAAGGGGGGACGGAGAAGGCUAUGUUGGCCGGGCGACGGUUGUCCCGGUUUAAGCGUGUAGGCUGGUUUUCCAGGCAAAUCCGGAAAAUCAAGGCUGAGGCGUGAUGACGAGGCACUACGGUGCUGAAGCAACAAAUGCCCUGCUUCCAGGAAAAGCCUCUAAGCAUCAGGUAACAUCAAAUCGUACCCCAAACCGACACAGGUGGUCAGGUAGAGAAUACCAAGGCGCUUGAGAGAACUCGGGUGAAGGAACUAGGCAAAAUGGUGCCGUAACUUCGGGAGAAGGCACGCUGAUAUGUAGGUGAAGUCCCUCGCGGAUGGAGCUGAAAUCAGUCGAAGAUACCAGCUGGCUGCAACUGUUUAUUAAAAACACAGCACUGUGCAAACACGAAAGUGGACGUAUACGGUGUGACGCCUGCCCGGUGCCGGAAGGUUAAUUGAUGGGGUUAGCGCAAGCGAAGCUCUUGAUCGAAGCCCCGGUAAACGGCGGCCGUAACUAUAACGGUCCUAAGGUAGCGAAAUUCCUUGUCGGGUAAGUUCCGACCUGCACGAAUGGCGUAAUGAUGGCCAGGCUGUCUCCACCCGAGACUCAGUGAAAUUGAACUCGCUGUGAAGAUGCAGUGUACCCGCGGCAAGACGGAAAGACCCCGUGAACCUUUACUAUAGCUUGACACUGAACAUUGAGCCUUGAUGUGUAGGAUAGGUGGGAGGCUUGGAAGUGUGGACGCCAGUCUGCAUGGAGCCGACCUUGAAAUACCACCCUUUAAUGUUUGAUGUUCUAACGUUGACCCGUAAUCCGGGUUGCGGACAGUGUCUGGUGGGUAGUUUGACUGGGGCGGUCUCCUCCUAAAGAGUAACGGAGGAGCACGAAGGUUGGCUAAUCCUGGUCGGACAUCAGGAGGUUAGUGCAAUGGCAUAAGCCAGCUUGACUGCGAGCGUGACGGCGCGAGCAGGUGCGAAAGCAGGUCAUAGUGAUCCGGUGGUUCUGAAUGGAAGGGCCAUCGCUCAACGGAUAAAAGGUACUCCGGGGAUAACAGGCUGAUACCGCCCAAGAGUUCAUAUCGACGGCGGUGUUUGGCACCUCGAUGUCGGCUCAUCACAUCCUGGGGCUGAAGUAGGUCCCAAGGGUAUGGCUGUUCGCCAUUUAAAGUGGUACGCGAGCUGGGUUUAGAACGUCGUGAGACAGUUCGGUCCCUAUCUGCCGUGGGCGCUGGAGAACUGAGGGGGGCUGCUCCUAGUACGAGAGGACCGGAGUGGACGCAUCACUGGUGUUCGGGUUGUCAUGCCAAUGGCACUGCCCGGUAGCUAAAUGCGGAAGAGAUAAGUGCUGAAAGCAUCUAAGCACGAAACUUGCCCCGAGAUGAGUUCUCCCUGACUCCUUGAGAGUCCUGAAGGAACGUUGAAGACGACGACGUUGAUAGGCCGGGUGUGUAAGCGCAGCGAUGCGUUGAGCUAACCGGUACUAAUGAACCGUGAGGCUUAACCUU
rnacentral:rRNA from 1 species